GUGUGGGAUCCAUUCCACGGGUUCCGUGCCGCAGCUAACGCAUUAAGUGCCCCGCCUGGGGAGUACGGCCGCAAGGCUAAAACUCAAAGGAAUUGACGGGGGCCCGCACAAGCGGCGGAGCAUGCGGAUUAAUUCGAUGCAACGCGAAGAACCUUACCAAGGCUUGACAUACACCGGAAAAGUGCAGAGAUGUGCUCCCCGUAAGGUCGGUGUACAGGUGGUGCAUGGUUGUCGUCAGCUCGUGUCGUGAGAUGUUGGGUUAAGUCCCGCAACGAGCGCAACCCUUGUCCUGUGUUGCCAGCGGGUUAUGCCGGGGACUCAUAGGAGACUGCCGGGGUCAACUCGGAGGAAGGUGGGGAUGACGUCAAAUCAUCAUGCCCCUUAUGUCUUGGGCUUCACGCAUGCUACAAUGGCCGGUACAAAGGGCUGCGAUACCGCGAGGUGGAGCGAAUCCCAAAAAGCCGGUCUCAGUUCGGAUUGGGGUCUGCAACUCGACCCCAUGAAGUCGGAGUCGCUAGUAAUCGCAGAUCAGCAACGCUGCGGUGAAUACGUUCUCGGGCCUUGUACACACCGCCCGUCACGUCAUGAAAGUCGGUAACACCCGAAGCCGGUGGCCCAACCCUUGUGGGGGGAGCCGUCGAAGGUGGGGCUG
rnacentral:rRNA from 1 species